rnacentral:rRNA from 1 species
GACGAACGCUGGCGGCGUGCCUAACACAUGCAAGUCGAGCGGGGAUUUAAGUGGAAGUUCUUCGGAAUGGAGAUUUAAAUUCUAGCGGCGGACGGGUGAGUAACGCGUGAACAAUCUGUCCCGGACAGGGGGAUAACACUUGGAAACAGGUGCUAAUACCGCAUAAGACCACGGCCUCGCAUGGGGCUGAGGUAAAAGGAGCAAUCCGGUUCGGGGUGAGUUCGCGUCCGAUUAGCUAGUUGGUGAGGUAACGGCCCACCAAGGCGACGAUCGGUAGCCGGCCUGAGCGGGUGAACGGCCACAUUGGAACUGAGAGACGGUCCAAACUCCUACGGGAGGCAGCAGUGGGGAAUAUUGGGCAAUGGGCGAAAGCCUGACCCAGCAACGCCGAGUGAGGGAAGAAGGUUUUCGGAUUGUAAACCUCUGUCCUAUGGGACGAAGGAAGUGACGGUACCAUAGGAGGAAGCCCCGGCUAACUGCGUG